rnacentral:rRNA from 1 species
GACGAGUCUCACGAACGUUAUUCGGAAUUACUGGGCUUAAAGGGUGCGUAGGCGGUGAAGUAAGUCGGAUGUGAAAUACCUUAGCUUAACUAGGGAACUGCACUCGAUACUACUUUGCUAGAGUAAGACAGAGGUGAGUGGAACUGAGGGUGGAGCGGUGAAAUGCGCAGAUAUCGGGAGGAACACCUAUGGCGAAGGCAGCUCGCUGGGACGUUACUGACGCUGAGACGCGAAAGCGUGGGGAGCAAACAGG